AACGAACGCUGGCGGCAUGCCUAACACAUGCAAGUCGAACGAGACCUUCGGGUCUAGUGGCGCACGGGUGCGUAACGCGUGGGAACCUGCCCUUAGGCUCGGAAUAACACCCCGAAAGGGGUGCUAAUACCGGGUAAUGUCUGCGGACAAAAGAUUUAUCGCCUUUGGAUGGGCCCGCGUUGGAUUAGCUAGUUGGUAGGGUAAAAGCCUACCAAGGCGACGAUACAUAGCUGGUCUGAGAGGAUGAUCCGCCACACUGGGACUGGGACGCGGCCCAGACUCCUACGGGAGGCAGCAGUGGGGAAUCUUGGCCUAUGGGCGAAAGCCUGAUCCACCAAUGCCGCGUGAGUGAUGAAGGCCUUAGGGUUGUAAAGCUCUUUUACCCGGGAUUAUAAUGACGGUACCGAGAGAAUAAGCUCCGGCUAACUCCGUG
rnacentral:rRNA from 1 species